CUAAUACUCAUAUUCCUUGAGUGAAUGGUUUGUAUGUUUAAAUAAAAGUUAUGAUUUUAGUAAGCAGUACUCAAGGGGAAUUUGAGGUCAACUUCAAGACCAAGGUCUUAGAAAAACUGAUUUUCUAUACUACCCUUUUCCAAGGAAAAAAUAUAAUUUUUCUAGUUAUAUAGAUGGUCAAGUUAAUGUCUGUGGUUAAUUCCUUGUUAUUUUUUAGCAGUUAGCAUUCAGUUUGGAAGGUUUUGUUUCACAACUUCCUUUAUUUUCUCUGUACUUUAAAAAAUGGAAGCGACUUUGGAAUUGCAUGGAAUACUCACCACCCUAAAGAAGUGCUAGAUUUUUGUGUUUUCACCUGUUCCCUUUUUUGGGAUGGAACAAAACAGUGCACUUCAAAGAAUUUCUGCAUAUUCUUUGUCUUCCUACUGAUGCCUCAUAUAGGAAUUAGGCAUGGAGGUGAUGACAAGGCUGUUCCUCACCCAUAUGGCAGACAGAAGUUGUUUCUACUGAGGGGCAUGCUUGCACAAAUGUCACUGAAUCCUCAGCAAUAUGGCCUGACUGGAAGUUAUGUAGAACAAAAGAGACAUUUUGCUGCUUGGAAUUUUCACUGCCACCCACAGAGACGUGCUAUUUUUGUCACUUGUACCAUCUUCUUUCUCUGGGAAAAAUCAGAACAAGGCACUCCAGAGGUUGGCAUGGACCAAAAACUGGGUUUCAUUUGGACGAGUUUAUUCUUUCCUCUUGAGAUAAAACUAUGAAGGAAAGUAUUGGGAAUAAUUCUGCCACACAUCUUCAAAGGCCUGUGUGAAUUCUCAGAAUGGUGACAGAGCUUAGAAGGAAAGGGAAACCAUCUAUGCCUUUGUCUUAACUCUCAAAUGCCAGCUCUGCAGAAAGUGACAACUUCUCUGUAAGACCCUUCCUACUUGUGGUCCUUUGGACAUCCUUGAAGGAGAUGACUUCUUGGGAACUCUUUUGAGAAUGAAUGACAUCAGCAAAUCCCUAAACAAGACUCUUCAUUCAGAGCAUUUUCAUCUACCUAUUGUCCAAGGGCUGCCCUCUGAAAGUGAUGGCCACAAAGAUGAGGUGGAUUUGUUACUCUGGAUACCAUUGCUUCUACCACCAGCUUCUCCAAAUCUACGACAGUCUUCCUCAGGCAUGGAAACUCUUCUCUUUCCUGUGUUGCAGUGGAUACCUCCUGCAGAUAAGAAAUGCUUAACUGAGAAAUGCUCAUGUUGGGAUAUCAUCGAUGAGACUUUAAUUUGGGCAUGGUGACUGUUUCCCUUGCUUCCACUUGACUCAAUCCCAGGAGCCUCAGUAGAGGAAAUAUUAUUGCACAAGAAACUCAAAAUGGUGGAAUUGCUCAGUGCUCCCAUAAAAAUACAUUUAUAAACUUCAUUUGCCAUGUGGUAAAUUUAAAGAAUAAGAUCUAUUUUUUUUCAAAAAUUCAAAGCAUAUCUAAAAUAUCUAACAUAUAAAUUAAGCACCCUCCUUUCUCCUAAUACUAUCUCCCAAAGUUUUUCUCUACUAAGGGAGUUGUGUGCAUUCUUUAAGUGGAUAUAUGUGCACACACACGUUAUUUUUAGGGGGUUCUGGAAUUGGAGCUAUAUUGUACACAUUAUUACGCAAAUUGCCUCAUUUAACAAUUUUCUCAAUGCCCUUUUUCUGUUUCACUACUACAUAUCUGUGUCAUUUGUUGAAUGACUGCAUGACUGUUUUGUACAUGAAAUAUAAUUAAAUGUUUUAAGCACUUAUUCAUAGAUAUUUAUGUUAGCACCAAAUUUCUGUGCAAUGAACCUCCCUAUAUAUCAAUAAUUUAUAUUUGUCUAUUAUAUCAUAAUAAAUUACAGUUGAAAUACUGGGAUUAAGUAUAUGCACAUUUCAAAUUUUGAAAAUAAUCACAAGAUUUCCUUAGAAAUAUGGUAACAUCUUUAUCCUUAAAUGGCAAUGAAUGAAUUUGCCAGCUUUCCCACAACCUCACAGAUAAUGAAUUUUAUGAGUAUUUAAAAUCUUUGCCAGUGUGAUAGCCCAAACUAUUGUCUUAAAUUGUAUUUCUUUUGUUUUUGAUCAUUUUUCAUAUGUUUAUUAGC